AUGUUUGUGUCAAGUGCGAUUGGAUACUUCAUUCUGGCACUUCACUCUGCACACACACACACACACACACACACACAUGCAUGACAGAAACGCAGUCUCUCACACACACACACACACACACACACGCAUACAGAAACAGUCUCUCCUCUCUCACACACACACACAGACACACAGCCUCUCCUCUCUUACACACACACACACACACACACACACACACACGCAUGACAGAAGGACAGAUUAAGUAAGUUGACAUAAUUACAUUGACUUCUGUUGGCACCCACAGUUUGCCUUUGCAAAUAUGGUAUGGACAGACAAAGAAAAGGUUUUAUUAUUUCUGGGAUUGAUACCGUGCAUUUGCAUUGAACUGGCGCAAGCCCAGGUCAACAGCAGAAGUGCCAACGCAGACGCAGCUGAAGGCUUGGCAAACGUUUUGUUCCGCCAUACGAAGCCCAGCGCCGUGGGAUCAGUCGAAGAGACUCGUUCUGGUUUUGGCUGCAGCCGUGAAAGUUCAGCGUACUUGGAACAUCUGCCAGCUGCAUUGAAGACUUACCUGAACAAAGAAAUUCAUGACUCUGCUUGGGAAUUUCAGAAUGGGAAAUACCCUGGAGAAUCAGAUGUCUUCAAACUUGGACAGAAUGCCCACAAAUAUUGCAUAUAUGCUGCUACGGAAAAUAGGACUCACAGCAUCCCACUUGUCAAAUGUACUGGCCAUCACAUGAAGGAAGGCGGUCACUCUCGAAAUAUGACAUCAGACUCUGUGGAAAAAAUAUGUGCAGUAAAGCUGUUCUAUCCAUCUCAGCAACAUUUUCACCAUUUGGUCAGAAGAAAAAGAGAAGAAUGGGACUUUUGGUUCAUGCCCACAGUUACCUAUCAGCCUGAUUCUUCAAGUGAGACGACAACCACUGUAACAAAAACAGCAGAAUCAAAUGAAAUAGGUGACAUAUUUUUGGAAUUUUCCGAGACACCCACCCACCCCAACAGUCCAACCACUUCACAGACUGGAAAAAUAACCACAAAAUUGACUUCAGCCACAAAUACAGCAACAGAUAAAAAGACACAUUUUGUAACUGAAGAAAAUGACUUUGUGUGGGAAUUUUCUGAAAUGGCAACAGUUCCCUACAGUCCAACCACUUCACAAACUCCCAAAAUGACAACAAAAUUGACAUCAGGCACAGAUACAGCAACUGAUGCAAAGACACAUUUUGUAACAGAACAAAAUGACUUUGUGUGGGACUUUUCU